rnacentral:misc_RNA from 1 species
UCCAGUGCCUUGAAAGUGAUCGGACGACAAAUGGAAGGCAACGGAUCGCCAGACCAUGCUGAAUUAGCUAGCAAGACAUUCACAGCUUCAGUAGGAUUGUAUAAAUCCCACCAUACAUGAGUUGAAGCUCGCGGGCACGCCAUAUCAGGUGAAAGACAGCCUUUUGUUCCGCCAUAUUCGCCUGUUCCACAGCAAGCAUUCUUUGCAUCCUCAAACCCAUAGGCUUGAGGAUGAAAAAUGAAUUCCAUCAUUGCUCGAUAGGUAUCACAGAAUAUGACUUGAGCACCUCGCAUUUUG